CCGCAGGAGUGUAGGAGUGAGGCUGGGAGGGGAGGAGAGCAGGCAGCCACUGGACUUCAGACACCCCUCUUCCUGGGGUCAGGGUUAGGGGCCUCCAUGGAUUUCUGGGUUCUGGUUUCUUAACUGCCGGACUUCGAUAGGGAACAUUGGGAUUGAAGAGGUUGGGGACAGUGUCCAUGAGUUGUAUCUGGUACCUCUACCCCCAUCUGUGAAAUGAUGGCGUGUUAUUCUAGAAAGUGUGCGGGUGAAAAGAAAAACACGGCAAGGGCCCGAGGAGAAGGAGGAUGAAUGCCCACACCUCCUGGGUUUGUUACUAUAAUGCACUUUGAUCUUUCCAGAAUCGAGUUUUUAGUUCCCAAGUUAUGCUCACAGACUGGGCAGAACUUGGGGUUGCAACAGUCUCCUGGCAAACCAUACCCACAAGAAAACCUCUGGAUGGUUCCUCCUUAUAUGUGGUGUUGGGAGCUCUCAGAAAAGAAUAAAAGAAAAAAAAGUUCCACCAUGAGGGUUGUCUGUGUGCAGGAUAGGGCGGGGCUCUCCUGGUGAGGGGUGGAGAGGUUUAAGUCAUUGUAAUGAAAGCUAAUGGUUUCAAACAUUUAGCCAUCCUGGGCCCCAGUCAGUAUCUAUGAAUCAAUGAAGCAGUUAUAGGAUUUGAUGGAUUUUUUUCCCCCAGGGAGUCUGGCUCCAUCAAGUUUAGAACAGUUUUGGUCUAGAAGGCAAAGCUGUGUUUAAAUCAGGGAGGAAACAGCUGUCACGAAUUUGCUAGCUUGCUCCAACCUAGCACAGCCUGCUAGGCUGCCUCAGGCUUCUCUUCUGGGAGUUGGUCUACAGGUUGCUGCUCUGUGUUGUGCUUCUGCUCUGCCUGCUCCCCUCUCCCUAACUGCUGCUUCUGCAUCCUCCCUCCUGCUGCCUCUGCCUGAGCUUGUCUGGUGUCAGGGGUCAGGGUGCCUUGCAUCCCCUGUGCACAGAACCCAGGGCACAGGCAAGUGUAGAUGCUUGUUAAUAAAUGUCUUCUGACUUAAUGCAUGGAAAGGGAGUGGAGGGUCGGAGCCGAGCAGCAAUAUUUCACCUGGUUGUUUUGCUGAAUGUCAGUCCAGAGUCAAAAGACAAAGUGCUUGUGAUUUUCCAUAUUUGGCUAGAUUUGUAAUCCAUGCAGAGAAAGAAAUGUUCGGACACGUGGGUGUAUUGGUACUAACACCUAUUCUAAUCACUCUAUCUUAGCAACAGACACGGGGCACAGGGGCCGCUUAAUCAGCCCUCUGGUGACUCAGCCAAGCAGCUUCUCUCUUCUGUUUUUUUGAAGAUGGAAGGCUGGGUGAAAUGGCAGUUCAUCUCUGUUUUAUCCCUCUCUACUGAGCUACCAAUUGUUACUUUAUUAUAUGAGAUUCAUAUUGUGGAACAUUUGUGAUCUGAGUCUUUUUAAGGAUAGUGUUCUAUAUCCCAAAGCUAUAAAAUCAGAAGCUUUGGUCUGGAGAGAUAGACCACUGAGUGGUAGAACAUUUACCCAGCACGCAGGAGACCCUACUUUCAACCCCCCAGUAACACACACAAACACACAUGCAUACACCUUAGCAUUCACUGAAGCAUGAGAUACCUCGUGCUUACCCUAUAGCAUUUAUUUAAUUCAAGAAGAAAACAAUCAUAACAACGGCUACUUCGUCUUUGAAACUACUAUAUACACAGUCUUCUUCACCCUUACCAAACCUGUAUGUACUAUACUGUAAGAUAAGGAUAGCUGUGGCCCAUUUUCAAUAUGAGGUGUGAUUACUGUUUAUCAGAGUAACAGGAGGGGCCCAGCUGACUGCUGGCGCCUGCUUAUCUCAGACAUUGAGAAGUAGAAAGUUUCAGGGUGUCUGUUAUUUAACUGAGCCCAAGAUGGGAAAGCGACUUGAGAAUUUAAAAAAAAAAUAGGAAAAAACAACAACAAUGACAACAAAACCUGUGUCAUUGUGGCACAUACCUUUUAUCUCAGCACUUGGAAGGCAAGAGACAAAUGGAUGUAUGCAAUUUCAAGACUAACCUAGGCUGCCUAAGUUUCAGGACAGCCAGAAGGAAUGCAUGCGGUGAGACCCCCAUCUCAAAAAUAAAAACAAAAAUCGCCAUUGUCUUCUAAUAGACCGGGUUUGUCUUGCGUUUGGCUUUUCUCUAUGUGUGCAUCCCUUUUUGGUAGAACUGCAUACUAAAAACUGGUUUGUUUCCACUAACCUUCUAAAUUUGUUAUUGACUUUCCCCAAAAUAUAUUACCAUUUCAAACAUAACGCCAGUGGAUUGGUUAAUUAACUAUAUUCAGGGUCAGGAAAGUUGAUGGCUGAGUUGGGAUUUGAGCCCAGGUCUAGCUCACUCGAGACCGUUGUCCUUGUUACUCAGUGAUGCUUCCUGAACACAAAAGUGUCCUGUCCCUUUUAGUUUGAUGGCUUGCUUUCGGCUUGUUUUCUCCUCUGCCUUUUGACAUCUAAGGAUGAACCUCUAUGGCUAGGCUGAUGUGACAGCCAGGUAAAAUGCACAAAGACAGAGACAAGAGUUAAGAGUUACAACAGAUACAAUUUUAUUUAAUUAAAACUUACACUUUAGAGCAGGACUCCUUCGACUUUUUCCACUCAUAACUCCCUUUAGGUCAAGAAACUCACAUAAUUCGGACAUGCAGAAAUAGGGUUUCUUUUGUGUCUUGGUUCUGUUUCAUCCCUCCAAUUAUCCAGUGGCUUCAGAGGAAGAGGAACGGCUCUGAGGUAACUGGCCAGUUUCCUCAGGUUCCUGCAGAGUCAGUGGUCAUGGCUACUUUUCUCAUUCAGUGCAGUUAGCAAGAGGAAGCACCUUCUCCUUAGUCGUUUCUGCCCAGCACAGGUACAGCUUAUUGUCUUCUACUUAACUAACUAAUUAAUUUAACAAUAAUUAUUAAUCAGCCUGCUUAUUAUUAGCUCCGGAAGUAGAAAUACAGCUGCUGCGUCACAAAUGUCGUUUGUAUAUUUUCCCCCAUACUUUUUUUGUGUUUUGUUUUCCUUUGUUGCCGAGUGGCAGUUUCAAGAGGUAGCUUCUCUGUGUCAGGUGUUUUCUUACAGCCGGCAGCUGGAGAGUGCACCUGAAAAUGGAGUCACAUUAACCAACAUGGAUUCAAAGCUGAGCUGGAAUGGGGGCGUUAGAUUGCUGAAGCCUGAGCCUGAGGUUUUGAACUCUUGAGUAUGCCUCAUGUGUGCACAGAGGCCAGCCUCCCACAAUGGAGACCUAGGCUGCUGAUGACUGGGACACUGGUCCUGGGUGGAUCUGAGGGAGGAAGACUGACAGCCACUGCUGCACACAGAUCCCAAAGCCAUCAGAACCCGGAAGAAUUACUCAUGAGUGGCCCGUUUCAGACAGCUGGCACCGGCGACUGUUGGAACAGGUGGAGGCCUGCCUCGUUUCCAUCCAUCAACCACUGUUACACUGGGUUAUAGAAGAAGGAAGGGAGACAAGUCGGGUGAUUAGUAAAGUCCUUCUGUAGGGGAAAGGACCAAUUCUAUCCAUGGAAUCAGCAGCUUUACAUGGGUGGUCAUGUUUCGGGUUAUUCCUCCAGUUUUAGGGAUUAAUAGCCAAAGGUAAAAUGAGAUUAAUCAACUGGCCACACUGGCAUGUUCUUUAGCAUUUAGUUUGUUAGGACUUAAAUAUGGGUAUGUCUAAUUCCUCAUAGUUAGAGGAAGGGGAUGUGAAGAAUGAUAGUCUAGCUCCUCAUAGUUGGAGAUGUAAGAAAUUAUAGUUAGCUGUUUCAUCUAUCUAUCUAUCUAUCUAUCUAUCUAUCUAUCUAUCCAACUAUCUAUCAUCUAUCUGUCUAUCUAUCUAUCUAUCUAUCUAUCUAUCUAUCUAUCUAUCAUCUCCCCCCCUCUCAUUUAUCUGCUAUUUUAUUUGUCUCCUAUGCUCAGACAGCAUCCUCAGGUCACUGUCCUGGGCAGUUUUUGUCAACUUGACACAAGCUAGAGUUAAGUUGGGAAAAGGACCCUUGACUGAGAAACCGUCUCCAUCAGAUUGCUUGUAGGUAAGUCUGUAGGAUAUUUUCUUGACUAAUGAUUGACAUAGGAGGUGGUCAUGCCAUCCCUGGGCAUGUGGUCCUGGGUAGUGUAAGAAAACAAGCUGAGCAAGCCAUGAGGAGCAAGUCAGUGAGCAGCACUCCUCCACAUCCUCUGUUUCAGUCCCUUCCUUGAAUUCCUGCCUUGGCUUCCCUUUAAGAUGAACUGUAACCUGAAAGCCAAAUAAACCUCUUCUUCUCCAA